rnacentral:rRNA from 1 species
GCUUGCUUUGUAUCUUAGUGGCGGACGGGCGAGUAACGCGUGAGCACCUGCCCUUCAGUGGGGAAUAACGUCUGGAAACGGACGCUAAUACCGCAUAACGCCGCAUGACCAAAGGAUUUAUUCGCUAAGAUGGGCUCGCGUCCGAUUAGCUAGAUGGUGGGGUAAAGGCUCACCAUGGCGACGAUCGGUAGCCGAACUGAGAGGUUGAUCGGCCGCAUUGGGACUGAGACACGGCCCAGACUCCUACGGGAGGCAGCAGUGGGGGAUAUUGCACAAUGGGGGAAACCCUGAUGCAGCAAUGCCGCGUGAGGGAAGAAGGUCUUCGGAUUGUAAACCUAAGUAGCCAGGGACGAUAAUGACGGUACCUGGAGAGUAAGCUCCGGCUAACUACGUGCCAGCAGCCGCGGUAAUACGUAGGGAGCGAGCGUUGUCCGGAUUUACUGGGUGUAAAGGGUGCGUAGGCGGGAUGGCAAGUCAGAUGUGAAAUACCGGGGCUUAACCCCGGGGCUGCAUUUGAAACUGUCGUUCUUGAGUGAAGUAGAGGCAGGCGGAAUUCCUAGUGUAGCGGUGAAAUGCGUAGAUAUUAGGAGGAACACCAGUGGCGAAGGCGGCCUGCUGGGCUUUAACUGACG